rnacentral:rRNA from 1 species
AUUGAACGCUGGCGGCAUGCUUUACACAUGCAAGUCGAACGGUAACAGGCCGCAAGGUGCUGACGAGUGGCGAACGGGUGAGUAAUGCAUCGGAACGUGCCCAGUCGUGGGGGAUAACUACUCGAAAGAGUAGCUAAUACCGCAUACGAUCUAUGGUUGAAAGCGGGGGACCGUAAGGCCUCGCGCGAUUGGAGCUGCCGAUGUCAGAUUAGGUAGUUGGUGGGGUAAAGGCUCACCAAGCCAACGAUCUGUAGCUGGUCUGAGAGGACGACCAGCCACACUGGGACUGAGACACGGCCCAGACUCCUACGGGAGGCAGCAGUGGGGAAUUUUGGACAAUGGGCGAAAGCCUGAUCCAGCAAUGCCGCGUGCAGGAAGAAGGCCUUCGGGUUGUAAAAUGCUUUUGUACGGAACGAAACGGCUCUGGUUAAUACCCGGGGCUAAUGACGGUACCGAAAGAAUAAGCACCGGCUAACUACGUG